UUUUUUUUUUUUUUUUUUUUUUUUUGAGGUAAUCUCACUCUGUCACACAGGCUAGAGUGCAGUGUCGCAAUCUCAGCUCACUGCAACCUCUGCCUCCGGGUUCAAGCGAUUCUCCUGUCUCAGCCUCCCGAUAGCUGGGACUACAGGCAUGAGCGACCAUAUCCACCUAAUUUUUGUAUUUUUGGUAGAGACAGGGUUUCACCCUGUUGGCCAGGAUGGUCUCAAUCUUUUGACCUUGUGAUUCGCCCACCUUGGCCUCCCAAAGUGCUGGGAUUACAGGUGUGAGCCACCAUGCCUGACCACAAAUACUGCUUUUUGGCUUUCCAGUCACCAACCUGUAUUCAGCUUCCAUCUCUCCACUUAUAACAUGGCAGCAGCUCCCAAAUGGUUCUCAUGCCCCCUCUGGCUUCCCUUGGAUCUUUCCUGCACAGCCACCUGGUUCCAUCCCUCUAGAUUUUGAUGUGUAGAUAUGACCUUGUCUCUCCCAUGCUAUGGUUCUCAGCAUAAAGUCUCAUGCCCCAAAAGCUGUUAAUCUCCUACCACUUCCCUAUGUUCACCAAACUACUCAGGCUACAUCCAUUUAUCCUUUGUGGCUCCUACUUCUUCAUCCUUUAAGAUAUGAAGUGAGGCUUGAAUUUUGUUUCUGCUGCAAAUCCUUAGAUGACAGUCCCUUCUCCCCCUAGUAAGUAGCAAUUCUUUCUCUCUGUGCUUUAAACACUCUGCAUUUUCACAAGUUAUAACACUUGUCCCAUUGGGUCAUAAACUUUUGUUUUUGCAUCUGUGCCUCUGUUUACCUGAGACAGCCUUGAGAGCAGAAAACAUAUCUCAGAUUCAUCAAUGCACCCCUAGAGACUAGCAAAGCCAAAGGCAUAUAGUCAGAGAACUGAAUGGUUGAGUGGGCAAAGCAUUCAAUAUUUUAUAUAAGUUGCCUUGCGUUUACUGAAAGGCCAGAUUCUAGGCUCUUGCAGGCAUAUGCAUAAGUGGGAGAGACACUUUCUGCUACUAACAAGUAUAUGCUGUAGAAGAAGAGGUAAAGUUGCACAAAUAUCUUCAGUGCAAGACUGCAUGGGAGAAAGAGCAAAGGUAGAGGGGAAGUAGCUCCCACAUGGCCAGAAGUGAUCAAUGAAACCAAGGUUAUCAUUUAAUCCCAGAACUGGACAGUUACUUUUCCAGAGAAAGGCUGUCUUGGGUUCCUUGCGUCCCACUGCAGAUGAGGCAGUGAUGAACUUUUCAUUGAAAAAUGAUUGUGCAACCAUCACAUUCUUGAUUCUUCCAGCUACAAAUUCCCAAAAUGCAAAUUUCUGUGGGUUGAAAGGUGCUAGAAAAUGAAAUUUCUUGGGAAAUUCACUGGAGAUUCUCCAUGAAAAUUAACAUGUCCAAUUUUCUUUAGGUAGCAUAUAUUAGAUAACCUUAUUAUCCCUCCUCAGUAAUUACAGCCUUUGGGUUUUUUGAGCUAAAAUUACAUAAAGGUAAAAUGGAAUCUUAGAAUUGUAUUACUAGGAGGAAAUGAGAAAAGACUCUACGGAUAUUUCACUGACUGCAUUUAAAUGUAAAAAUGUAGUGGAUACAUACACACACACGCACACACACUCACUCAAAUCUCAGACUUCGCGUAUUCAUUUUCUAUUGCUGCCAUAACAAAUUACCACAAUGCAGCAGUUUAAAACAACAGCUGUUUAUUAUCCCACAGUUCUGUGUGGCACAAGUCCGGGUGCAGUAU
ensembl:lncRNA